rnacentral:rRNA from 1 species
UACGUAGGCAGCGAGCGUUGUUCGGAGUUACUGGGCGUAAAGAGUGCGUAGGCGGUUUUCUAAGUUUGGUGUGAAAUCUCCCGGCUUAACUGGGAGGGUGCGCCGAAAACUGGAAGGCUUGAGUAUGGGAGAGGUAAGCGGAAUUCCUGGUGUAGCGGUGAAAUGCGCAGAUAUCGGGAGGAACACCGGUGGCGAAGGCGGUUCUCUGGGCCUGUACUGACGCUGAGGAGCGAAAGCCAGGGGAGCGAACGGG